UUUUUGAUUUUAUUUGUCUCCCUAGAAUCUAAAAGUGCAUCGAUCCAGUGGCAGUAGGGCAUUUCCACCUUCAGAAAUUGGCCUGAAUAAUUAGUAGGUUGUAAAGGUCAUCGCACAUUCAUCUGCUAGACGGAAGUAAUGAAAUGCAGGUUGAGAAUGAGACCUGACAGGUCUUAAAAAUGUUCUAAUGUCCACCUUUGCCGCUGGGGUGCACCUAGAUGUAUAAGUAUUUGUAAUAUUUGUUUUAAUGGUAACAUAUGCGAUGACAAGACAGGUAACUGUAUUUGUGCACCAGGGUUUAAAGGAGAAAGCUGUGAAAAUAGUAAGUCCAAACAAGUUGUUUUGGUAUUUCAUAUCUACAUUAAGUUUAUUUCCAGACCUUGCAUAAUAGUAAUGUCAAAUUUCAAAUAUUUGAAAAAAAUAAAAUGUCAUUUAAAACCAAUAACUGGCUGAGUAAAAACAAUAUGUACAGAUUGUCAACAGUUACAAUUGACAAAGAUGUGAGAUUU